UGUGAUCAGUCAGCAUUUAUUUAUUUAAAUGUAAUGUCUGCAAUGACUCAGCAGUUUAUAUUAACCUAAAUCUAAAUCUGCAGUGCUCUGAUUGGACAGCAUGAAACAACAUACUGUAGUUUUUGUUAGACUUUGAUGAUAAAAUACAAAACUGAAAUUGCAUUGAAUUGAAAUUUAAUAGAUAGAUAGUUUAUCAGCCACAUGUUUUGGGUACAGUAUUUUAUAUUCUGCAGCACAAACACAUUAAUGGACAACAGCAGACAAUCAACAUAUCAUUACAACACAGUACAGGGAUACAGUCAACAUAUCAUCCCAGAAACAUAGUACACACAACCAUAUACAGCAGGUGCACGGUAAUGCGUGUAAGUAGUGUGUGAGGAGGGGCUAGAGGGAGGAGGUCAGAGUCAAAAAGCUGUGCAGCCUUUAGUCCUAGCGGACAGUGAGCUGUAGCGCCUCCCUGAGGGACGGAGCUGGAGGAGGUGAUGAGCAGGAUGUGAGGAGUCGGACAUGAUCUUUGUUUGUUUACAGUUGGCUGAGUAUGUAAAGAUUCAGCUGAGGCUGCUGGAAACUGACUGCGGCCACCUGAUCCCGUACGCUGUCCAGGUGAGGCGCAGUUCAUCUCAAACGAGCCAUUUAUGACGUCAUGAGAACGCAUUAUCUCUCACUGCCAGGAGGGGGAGACAAAAGUUCUGCACUGCAGGUUUAAUGCAAUCCUGCAAGUCACUGUUUGAUUCAGCUCUUUCCUCUGGAGGAGUCAUCCGCAGUGUGUCGCCCCUCUUUUACAUACAUCUCUGUAAAGCUCCGAGCAGAGAAGGAGGCGACCCCCGGUCCAUUUACUGACUCAUCACAGAGCCUGACCGCCGUUUCAUCUCUACUGUCACACGAGCGCUGACAGUGAAAGUCCAUUUCUGAUUUUAAUUAUUGUUUGCAGUAAUGAUUGUUCUCAUGUUGCAGCCUUCACUCAGAUUUUUUUAAAUAGCCUUUUUUUAUUUUAGAUAUUUUAUAUGGUCUGCGGGUGAAGCAGCAUAAUCACUACGAGGAGGAUACGUUCUCGUCUCCACCAGGGAUUAAAAUGCAAAUCGCACCCUGGAGGUAUUAAUCAUUAAAUCUUAAUAAAUCCACACACUGGAGGUGUGUUAAUAAGGAGGUAUUGAUAAUCUGAUUAUUAAUAAUCUGAUUAUUGAUACCUUUAGUGAGUAAACAUUAAGUCAGAAAGAUUUUAAAAGAUUUACCUCAGAGAGAUUUCUCCAGAUGAUCUCACAUUACAAGCUGAAGACUUCCUGUCUGGUCUCUCUCUCAUCAAAAGUGAAAGUUAAACCAGAGUCACAUAAACAGACUGCUGGUCAGCUGUGUCCUCCUCCUCCUCCUCCUCCUCCUCCUCCUCCUCCUCCUCCUCCACUUUAUCUUCAUUAUCUUUGUGUUUAUUGGCAGAAACCAUAAAAGCUGCAAAGCUUCACACUGAUGUGUAGAAUCAUGACAUCACAGUUUGACUCCACUGAUUUGAUGGAAUGGAUUAGUUUAUUUUAUUUGUUUGUUUGCACAUUUUUAAAAAAUAAAGUUUUAUAAAGUAUUUUAUGGUUUGAUUUUUACACAAAGUGUCGCAA